UACGAAGGGGGCGAGCGUUGUUCGGAUUUACUGGGCGUAAAGGGCGCGCAGGCGGCUAUCCAAGUCAGGCGUGAAAGCCCCGGGCUUAACCUGGGAGGUGCGUCUGGGACUGAGUGGCUUGAGUACGAGAGAGGUGAGUGGAAGUUCCCAGUGAUAGAGGUGAAAUUCGUAGAUAUUGGGAAGAACACCGGUGGCGAAGGCGGCUCACUGG
rnacentral:rRNA from 1 species